GGGUCAGUAGGUUGGUCGUGCCUUGGUACGUACUAGUUUAUUGGUUUCUUCCUUCUGACGAACCAUGAUGUCAUUAAUUUGGUGUUGCGGGGAAUUUGGACUGUUACUUUGAAAAAAUUAGAGUGUUUAAAGCAAGCUAACGCUUGAAUACAUUAGCAUGGAAUAAUGAAAUAGGACGUUCGAUCCUAUUUUGUUGGUUUCUAGGAUUGACGUA
rnacentral:rRNA from 1 species